GACGAACGCUGGCGGCGUGCUUAACACAUGCAAGUCGAACGGAAAGGCCCCUUUGGGGGUGCUCGAGUGGCGGACGGGUGGGUAACACGUGAGUAAGUUGCCCUCCCUUUCCUGUUGACUUCAGGCAAGAGGGGGUAGUACCGGCUAGAAAUCCUUGCUUCAUGGUGGGGGUUGGAAAGCAUGGGCGGUCUUGGUUGGAUUCGCGGCUUAUCAGCUUGUUGGUGGGUUGGUGGGUUACCAAGGCUUUGACGGGUAGCCGGCCUGCGUGGGCGACCGGCCACAUUGGGGCUGGGAUACGGCCCAGACUCCUACGGGCGGCAGCAGUGGGGAAUAUUGCACAAUGGGCGGAAGCCUGAUGCAGCAACGCCGCGGGCGGGAUGACGGCCUUCGGGUUGUAAACCGCUUUCAGCAGGGGCGAAGCUUGUGGUGACGGUACCUGCAGAAGAAGCACCGGCUAACUACGUG
rnacentral:rRNA from 1 species